rnacentral:rRNA from 1 species
UAUGUCAAAUAUCUCUUGACAAUCUCCUGUGAUCUUGGAAGCUAAGCCGGGUUGGACCUGGUUUGUACCUGGAUGAAAGACCACGUGGAAAUAUCUCAGAGGANGAUAUUU